UGGCGGCGUGCCUAACACAUGCAAGUCGAACUAAGUUACACAGAGGAAGUUUUCGGAUGGAAUCAGUAUAACUUAGUGGCGGACGGGUGAGUAACGCGUGGGAAACCUGCCCUGUACCGGGGGAUAACACUUAGAAAUAGGUGCUAAUACCGCAUAAGCGCACAGCUUCACAUGAAGCAGUGUGAAAAACUCCGGUGGUACAGGAUGGUCCCGCGUCCGAUUAGCUAGUUGGUGGGGUAAAGGCCUACCAAGGCGACGAUCGGUAGCCGGACUGAGAGGUUGAACGGCCACAUUGGGACUGAGACACGGCCCAGACUCCUACGGGAGGCAGCAGUGGGGGAUAUUGCACAAUGGGGGAAACCCUGAUGCAGCAACGCCGCGUGUGGGAAGAAGGUUUUCGGAUUGUAAACCACUGUUCUUGGUGAAGAUAAUGACGGUAACCAAGGAGAAAGCUCCGGCUAACUACGUGCCAGCAGCCGCGGUAAUACGUAGGGAGCAAGCGUUGUCCGGAUUUACUGGGUGUAAAGGGUGCGUAGGCGGCUAGGCAAGUCAGACGUGAAAACCAUGGGCUCAACCUGUGGACUGCGUUUGAAACUGUUUAGCUUGAGUGAAGUAGAGGUAGGCGGAAUUCCCGGUGUAGCGGUGAAAUGCGUAGAGAUCGGGAGGAACACCAGUGGCGAAGGCGGCCUACUGGGCUUUAACUGACGCUGAGGCACGAAAGCAUGGGUAGCAAACAGGAUUAGAUACCCUGGUAGUCCAUGCCGUAAACGAUGAUUACUAGGUGUGGGGGGUCUGACUCCCUCCGUGCCGGAGUUAACACAAUAAGUAAUCCACCUGGGGAGUACGGCCGCAAGGUUGAAACUCAAAGGAAUUGACGGGGGCCCGCACAAGCAGUGGAGUAUGUGGUUUAAUUGGAAGCAACGCGAAGAACCUUACCAGGUCUUGACAUCGGACUAACGAAGUAGAGAUACAUUAGGUGCCUUUCGGGGAAAGUCGAGACAGGUGGUGCAUGGUUGUCGUCAGCUCGUGUCGUGAGAUGUUGGGUUAAGUUCCGCAACGAGCGCAACCCUUGUCAUUAGUUGUUACGUAAGAGCACUAUAAUGAGACUGCCGUUGUCAAAACGGAGGAAGGUGGGGAUGACGUCAAAUCAUCAUGCCCCUUAUGAUCUGGGCUACACACGUACUACAAUGGCCGUUAACAGAGGGAAGCAAUACCGUGAGGUGGAGCCAAUCCCUAAAAACGGUCCCAGUUCGGAUUGUAGGCUGAAACUCGCCUACAUGAAGUUGGAAUUGAUAGUAAUCGCGGAUCAGCAUGCUGCGGUGAAUAUGUUCCCGGGCGUUGUACACACCUCCCGUCACACCAUGGGAGCCGGUAAUACCCGAAGCCAGUAGUCUAACCGUAAGGAGGACGCUGUCGAAGGUAGGAUUG
rnacentral:rRNA from 1 species